rnacentral:rRNA from 1 species
CGCAGCAGGCGCGAAAACUUUACAAUGCGGGAAACCGUGAUAAGGGGACACCGAGUGCCAGCAUCAUAUGCUGGCUGUCCAGGUGUGUAAAAUACACCUGUUAGCAAGGGCCGGGCAAGACCGGUGCCAGCCGCCGCGGUAACACCGGCGGCCCGAGUGGUGAUCGUGAUUAUUGGGUCUAAAGGGUCCGUAGCCGGUUUGGUCAGUCCUCCGGGAAAUCUGACGGCUCAACCGUUAGGCUUUCGGGGGAUACUGCCAGGCUUGGAACCGGGAGAGGUAAGAGGUACUACAGGGGUAGGAGUGAAAUCUUGUAAUCCCUGUGAGACCACCUGUGGCGAAGGCGUCUUACCAGAACGGGUUCGACGGUGAGGGACGAAAGCUGGGGGCACGAACCGGAUUAGAUACCCGGGUAGUCCCAGCCGUAAACGAUGCUCGCUAGGUGUCAGGCAUGGCGCGACCGUGUCUGGUGCCGCAGGGAAGCCGUGAAGCGAGCCACCUGGGAAGUACGGCCGCAAGGCUGAAACUUAAAGGAAUUGGCGGGGGAGCAC